GGCCGGAUGCCCGAGUGGUGAGGGAGGGGUCUGCAAAACCUCGUACAGGAGUUCAAUUCUCCUUCCGGCCU
rnacentral:tRNA from 1 species